AUCUAACUGGGAUAGCUCAGUUAGUAGAGCAUGAGACUCUUAAUCGCAGGCUCGUGGAUUUGAGCCCCAUGUUGGGCA